rnacentral:rRNA from 1 species
UACGGAAGGCAGCAGUGGGGAAUAUUGCACAAUGGGCGAAAGCCUGAUGCAGCUAUGCCGCGUGUAUGAAGAAGGCCUUAGGGUUGUAAAGUACUUUCAUCGGGGAGGAAAAAACAAAACUAAUAAUUUUAUUUCUUGACGUUACCCGAAAAAGAAGCACCGGCUAACUCCGUGCCAGCAGCCGCGGUAAUACGGAGGGUGCUAGCGUUAAUCAGAAUUACUGGGCGUAAAGAGCACGUAGGUGGUUUUUUUAAGUCAGAUGUGAAAUCCCUGGGCUUAACCUGGAACUGCAUUUUGAAACUGAAAUACUAGAGUAUCGUAGAGGGAGGUAGAAUUCUAGGUGUAGCGGUGAAAUGCGUAGAUAUCUGGAGGAAUACCUGUGGCGAAAGCGGCCUCCUAAACGAAUACUGACACUGAGGUGCGAAAGCGUUGGGGAGCAAACAGGGAUUUAGAUACCCGU